rnacentral:tRNA from 1 species
ACCUGGCUGGCUCAGUCGGAAGGGCAUGUGACUCUUGAUCUCCGGGUCAUGAGUUCAAGCCCCAUGGUGGGUG